rnacentral:rRNA from 1 species
UGCAGCAACGCCGCGUGAGUGAUGACGGUCUUCGGAUUGUAAAGCUCUGUCUUUAGGGACGAUAAUGACGGUACCUAAGGAGGAAGCCACGGCUAACUACGUGCCAGCAGCCGCGGUAAUACGUAGGUGGCAAGCGUUGUCCGGAUUUACUGGGCGUAAAGGGAGCGUAGGUGGAUAUUUAAGUGGGAUGUGAAAUACCCGGGCUUAACCUGGGUGCUGCAUUCCAAACUGGAUAUCUAGAGUGCAGGAGAGGAAAGGAGAAUUCCUAGU